GGGACAGUUCCUGCAGUUUACAGCAAAUUGUAGCCCUACAAACUUCAGAUACUGCCAAGCUUGGGUGCACUGGGCCGGUUAUCCAGCCGUGUGGAAUCAACAUCUCCAGCUGAACUUGGGCCGGGAAUUAUAUAAGAAUCCUUAGCAGCAUGAGUGCCAGCCAGUCAUUGCUGUUCUUUGCAUUGCUGAGGAGGACAGUCCUGCCAACAUAACAGUUUGUUCAAUAACAGGAGACAAACAGAAACACAGAGGUGCUAUACAUUCCGAUGGAAAAGACAACAAAAGCAUCUCCCAUCAUUUUGGCGUGGCUCAGAUCAAGAGGAGAAUUUUAAGAAAGGUGGUGGUUGGGCACACACAAGAAGACAUAGAUCACAUGUGUCCAGGCAUAUGAGUAGACAGGAGUUUCACACUCUGCCAAACUUACUUCAUCAGAGGAGCAGAAAGCUUCUCAAGAUCCCGCACUGCACACUUAGAUAUAGUCUUUGACUACAACAAGGGGAUGAAAGUACAGAGAGGUCCAAUUGAAAUCAAUUCUGUGCUGCGUCAUUUCUUCAUUCUGGAAGUCGAUGGACAUGAUUUAUCAUGGCAUCAGGUGUGCAGUUUGUCGACUAUCAGCAGUCUUGUUCACCAGUUGUGCAACUUGAGCUGGUAGCUUUAUUGCUUGAAGCCACAGCAUAAG